CGGACGGGUGAGUAAUGUCUGGGAAACUGCCCGAUGGAGGGGGAUAACUACUGGAAACGGUAGCUAAUACCGCAUAACGUCGCAGGACCAAAGAGGGGGACCUUAGGGCCUCUUGCCAUCGGAUGUGCCCAGAUGGGAUUAGCUAGUAGGUGGGGUAACGGCUCACCUAGGCGACGAUCCCUAGCUGGUCUGAGAGGAUGACCAGCCACACUGGAACUGAGACACGGUCCAG
rnacentral:rRNA from 1 species